rnacentral:rRNA from 1 species
AUUGAACGCUGGCGGCAUGCCUUACACAUGCAAGUCGAACGGCAGCACGGGUGCUUGCACCUGGUGGCGAGUGGCGAACGGGUGAGUAAUACAUCGGAACAUGUCCUGUAGUGGGGGAUAGCCCGGCGAAAGCCGGAUUAAUACCGCAUACGAUCUACGGAUGAAAGCGGGGGACCUUCGGGCCUCGCGCUAUAGGGUUGGCCGAUGGCUGAUUAGCUAGUUGGUGGGGUAAAGGCCUACCAAGGCGACGAUCAGUAGAUGGUCUGAGAGGACGACCAGCCACACUGGGACUGAGACACGGCCCAGACUCCUACGGGAGGCAGCAGUGGGGAAUUUUGGACGAUGGGCGAAAGCCUGAUCCAGCAAUGCCGCGUGUGUGAAGAAGGCCUUCGGGUUGUAAAGCACUUUUGUCCGGAAAGAAAUCCUUGGCUCUAAUACAGUCGGGGGAUGACGGUACCGGAAGAAUAAGCACCGGCUAACUACGUG